UAUGACAACAUUAUGGGAAAGAACGUUGGUAACCAAAUAUGUAACCAACAAGGUUGGGGGAACAUCAGGAGCACGUCUAGGGAACCAAAUAUGUAACCAACAAGGUUAUGGGAACCAUAUGGGAACACUGAGGGAACAAACAUGACAUGAACAA